rnacentral:rRNA from 1 species
ACGAACGCUGGCGGCGUGCCUAAUACAUGCAAGUAGAACGCUGAAGGAGGAGCUUGCUUCUCUGGAUGAGUUGCGAACGGGUGAGUAACGCGUAGGUAACCUGCCUGGUAGCGGGGGAUAACUAUUGGAAACGAUAGCUAAUACCGCAUAAUAGUAGAUGUUGCAUGACAUUUGCUUAAAAGGUGCAAUUGCAUCACUACCAGAUGGACCUGCGUUGUAUUAGCUAGUUGGUGGGGUAACGGCUCACCAAGGCGACGAUACAUAGCCGACCUGAGAGGGUGAUCGGCCACACUGGGACUGAGACACGGCCCAGACUCCUACGGGAGGCAGCAGUAGGGAAUCUUCGGCAAUGGACGGAAGUCUGACCGAGCAACGCCGCGUGAGUGAAGAAGGUUUUCGGAUCGUAAAGCUCUGUUGUAAGAGAAGAACGAGUGUGAGAGUGGAAAGUUCACACUGUGACGGUAUCUUACCAGAAAGGGACGGCUAAAUACGUG